AGGCGGGGUUUCACCAUGUUGCCCAGACUGUUCUUGAAUUCCUGAGCUUAAGCAAUCCACCUGCCUCGGCCUCCCAAAGUGUUGGGAUUACAGGCAUGAGCCACUGCAUCCAGCCUCAUGUUCUUUUUCAUUAAAGAGGGAAAUCAACUAUUCAGGACCGGCCCCCACCUUUCCUCAGGAGCCAUUUCUGUUCUGCACAGGCCUGCUGAACUGGGUGCUUUAUAUAGGGUAAGUGUUUCUCAUUUUUUGUUCCCUGUCCUCAAGCCUUAAGGGCAAAAGAAACAUCCGAGACUUGAAAUUUCUUUUCUUCUUCUCAUCUGCAUGGCUCUAGCCAUCUCUUUGUUCUGCAUUAUCUUACUACAAAAAAAAAAAAUUCUUAUUUUGAAGCAAACUCAAAGCUGGGUCCUGAUAUCUCAAGGCACAGGUACUCGUACUUAAAGACAUUGUCAUCUCUCAAGUACCCAUCUUGGAGGGUACGGACCCCACAUGAGGGUGAGGCUCUCUGCACACUCCAGAGUGAGGACUUGAAUAAUCUAGUGGACUGUACGUGUUGGGAAGGGAAGAGCGGGGUGCCAAGGUUCUGGAGGGAAAAGAAUUGACUGACCCUUUUGCUCUUGGAGUUAAGCAGAAAUCUAAAGAGAAGGCAAAGAAUCUUGCCUUCCCGGCAUCAUUUCCUCCCACCAUCCUGGGUCAUCAUUUAUUUAUCACAGCCAACAGACUGGCCUUUUUCUUCCCUUUGACUGGGAAUGGGUCAAAGGCAGUGCAGGAGGAGUAUCUAGUCCAGAUAAUUCACAAGCAGGGUGCAUUUUCCUCUCAUUAUUGAGAACUGUGAGUGUUUAUCAAGAAGGCAGAGUGGGAGAAGAUGAACCAGUCUUCUUCCCCUCAGUACCCAGAUCUCUGCCUCCCAGCAAGUCCCGUGUUCACCCUGGCAAAGAGUCUUUACAUUCAGACCAAGGAGAGUGUGACUCCUUCUCAGCACUAGCUAGAAACCUCAAGCCCUUGCUUAAGGGCCUUUUUCAGAGAGACCCAGUGCCCAGAAGGCUAGAUACAUGGGGAGGAGCCACAUAUGAGAUACUGCCUCCCUGAUUCGGGUCAGAACAAGCCCCAGGAAGAAAGUAUUUCAAACAACAAGGUACAUCUGCCCCAACACAUCCAGACUGCAUGUUGGUGCUGAGAACAGCCUUUUAUGGGGCUUGCACUGAGCUAUGGGCAUGUCUGAACACAACAAGGAAGAGACCAGGGCAGUAACUGCACGCAAUGGGUUGAUGGGCAUUUCUUUUAAGAGAGGACAGAAAACUCUUAGAUACUUUGCAUCCUUCCUAUUUGACUCAGUCUAUGAAAGGUAGGUUAGCUUUCUUUCUUCCUCCCUAAAUCCUCCAUCCUCAUGCCCAACAAAGAAAUAGUUGAAUCAUUUUCCAGGCACAUUUGGGGGAGGAUGAGGGACCAUUGCAGGCUGUCCUUCCUAGACAAGUCUCUAGGAUUGAGAACAAGGAGUCUUACCCUUCUCUGUCCACCCACCCCCAUGAAUGGGCCUAGCUCCAGCUGGAAGUUGUGGUUUUUCCUGAGUUCCUCACCUACCUCUUCUGGAUUUCACACUGGCAAAUGGGGCUGCAAAGUGCUCUUCGUGCUCUUUGGACAGUACCUUGUGGAGAGGAAUGCCCGUGUCCCUGCAUUCCACGGCCUUGGUAAGCAAGCUCAGAGUAGCUGAAUUUUUCUAAAGCAAUUGCAGAACACCUGCUUUUUCUCUGUUUCCUCUAGAAAGGACCAACCACACUGAGCUCAGUUAUGGCACACACAGUGGGACCUAGACAAAGGGAGAGGGUGACCAGCAUCCCAACUAGGUAAACACAGAGGAGGUUCCACAUGGACUUAUCUGGGUGGCUGCUUUGAAAAUUAGAAACAGUCAAGAGUCCCUGGCCCCACAGACUCAUCUCCCCAACUCAGCACUGUCUAUCUAUGCAGCAGGUGCAAGGACGUGUUGAUGAACUAGCUCUCUGCAGCCUCCUUGGAGAAUGUGAUCCUUGGGGAAGGGUAGGAGUAUUCAGGUCCUCGACAUCUCCCAAGUGUGUGAUUCCAGGAUGCCAAAGGCCUUUGGCCAGGUAAUGCAGUGUCCACAGGCUGGGGUUGACAUGUGUCCCCUCCCUCUGAGAAAAAGAUCCUCAGGCAAUCCAUGUGCUUCUCUUGUCCUUCAUUCCACCGGAGUCUGUCUCAUACCCAACCAGAUUUCAGUGGAGUGAAGUUCAGGAGGCAUGGAGCUGACGACGAUAAGGCCUUGGCAGUCAAAGCAGCAGCAGCAGCAGCAAGAGUAACUCUGACUUAGGAACAGAGACAGCCAGAGAGAAAUGUGAUCAAUGAAGGAGACAUCUGGAGUGCAUGUGCUUCUUCAGAGGGACUGGUGAUGGGCAGAUUGGAAAAAGCACCACAGAUGGGAACCACUUAAUCUUUCUUUUCUAACAUUGAUGCUAUGAAAAUUUGCAUUUUCUGUAACUUGUAAAAAUUAAAAGUUGCUUGUCUACUGAAAA